CCUACGGGCGGCAGCAGUGGGGAAUAUUGGACAAUGGGGGGAACCCUGAUCCAGCCAUGCCGCGUGUGUGAAGAAGGCCCUCGGGUUGUAAAGCACUUUCAGUGAGGAAGAACGCCUGGUGGUUAAUACCCAUCAGGAAAGACAUCACUCACAGAAGAAGCACCGGCUAACUCCGUGCCAGCAGCCGCGGUAAUACGGAGGGUGCGAGCGUUAAUCGGAAUUACUGGGCGUAAAGCGCGCGUAGGUGGCUUGAUAAGCCGGUUGUGAAAGCCCCGGGCUCAACCUGGGAACGGCAUCCGGAACUGUCAAGCUAGAGUGCAGGAGAGGAAGGUAGAAUUCCCGGUGUAGCGGUGAAAUGCGUAGAGAUCGGGAGGAAUACCAGUGGCGAAGGCGGCCUUCUGGACUGACACUGACACUGAGGUGCGAAAGCGUGGGUAGCAAACAAGAUUAGAUACCCGUGUAGUC
rnacentral:rRNA from 1 species